rnacentral:piRNA from 1 species
CAAUAAUAGUUCAGGUGUAGUUAAAG